GUAGGUGAACCUGCGGAAGGAUCAUUAAAAAAGUGCACCUGGCUAAGUAGCUUAACCACUGCUUAGCUGGAUUGUAUUUCAACCUGUUUACCUUUACCGAGUGCUUCCCUGAUUUAGGGUGCUCUGCCUGCUCGCAGGCUGGAGUUACCUUUCAGGGGUAUUGUAAAAAAAUUGUUUUAGAUUGUCUUGUCUGAAUAAAAAAAUAAUAGUUAAAACUAUCAACAACGGAUCUCUAGGUUCUCGCAUCGAU
rnacentral:misc_RNA from 1 species